rnacentral:rRNA from 1 species
AGAGUGAACGCUGGCGGUAGGCCUAACACAUGCAAGUCGAACGGCAGCACAGUAGGAGCUUGCUCUUACGGGUGGCGAGUGGCGGACGGGUGAGGAAUACAUCGGAAUCUACCUUUUGGUGGGGGAUAACGUAGGGAAACUUACGCUAAUACCGCAUACGCCCUUCGGGGGAAAGCCGGGGACCAGCAAUGGCCUGGCGCUGAUAGAUGAGCCGAUGUCGGAUUAGCUAGUUGGUGAGGUAAUGGCUCACCAAGGCGACGAU